rnacentral:rRNA from 1 species
GUAACACGUGGGUAACCUACCUACAAGCGGGGGAUAACAUUCGGAAACGGAUGCUAAUACCGCAUAGAUCUUUUUGUCUCCUGACAGAAAGAAGAAAGACGGUUUCGGCUGUCACUUGUAGAUGGACCCGCGGCGCAUUAGUUAGUUGGUGAGGUAAUGGCUCACCAAGACGAUGAUGCGUAGCCGACCUGAGAGGGUGAUCGGCCACACUGGGACUGAGACACGGCCCAGACUCCUACGGGAGGCAGCAGUAGGGAAUCUUCCGCAAUGGACGAAAGUCUGACGGAGCAACGCCGCGUGAGUGAAGAAGGUUUUCGGAUCGUAAAACUCUGUUGUUAGAGAAGAACAAGGAUGAGAGUAACUGCUCGUCCCUUGACGGUAUCUAACCAGAAAGCCAUGGCUAACUACGUGCCAGCAGCCGCGGUAAUACGUAGAUGGCAAGCGUUGUCCGGAUUUAUUGGGCGUAAAGCGAGCGCAGGCGGUUCUUUAAGUCUGAUGUGAAAGCCCCUGGCUCAACCAGGGAGGGUCAUUGGAAACUGGAGAACUUGAGUGCAGAAGAGGAAAGUGGAAUUCCAUGUGUAGCGGUGAAAUGCGUAGAUAUAUGGAGGAACACCAGUGGCGAAGGCGACUUUCUGGUCUGUAACUGACGCUGAGGCU